AAUCCGAGAAUUUCACCUCCAACAGUUAAGUACUAAUGCCCCCAACUAUCCCUAUUAAUCAUUACUUCGACCCCUUAGACCAACAGAAGAGGUAAAAGUCCUAUUCCAUUAUUCCAUGCUAAUGUAUCCGGGCGCAAGCCUGCCUGAAACACUCUAAUUUUCUCAAGGUAAAAUAUCUGGGCUCCUAAACAGCCAGUAAAGUCUAAUCUAGGUUAACAGAAGGAUGGUGGAGAGCUACCAAAAACGCGCGGGCGUAUGGUAUCUCGCCACCAGAAAUCCAACUACGAGCUUUUUAACUGCAACAACUUUAAUAUACGCUAUUGGAGCUGGAAUUACCGC
rnacentral:misc_RNA from 1 species